CGCCUGGCCUGGCCUGGCCUGCCUCCGCCCAGGCGAGGGGGGAACGAAGCCCCCGCCCGGGCUCGAGCCCCGCCCCCGCUGAGACCCCCAUCAAGGGUCGGGCCCCGGCCCUGCUUCGCCUCCGCGCCAGCUCGGCAGCUGGGGCGACGGCAGGCCGCCCUGCGCCGUCCCCGAAGCCGGGCCUCUCCGCCGCUUAAACGCCGGCCUCGCCCGGCGAGAUCCCCCCUGCACGGUGUUGCCCGGGGACGGGACGCAGGACCGGCCGCCGCCGCGCGCCCUCGCUUGCGUCCCGCAGGAGGCUCGGAAGGCGGAGAGCGCGGAAGCGCCGUCCCGGCCGCGGGCGAAGAGCGGGCGCGUCGUCCCCGCGGGGGCCGCUUGUCCCGGGGGUGGGUCCGUUGCGGCGGUUCGGAGGGGCCGGGACCGGCUUUCGGAUGCUCGAGGCGCGUGCGCCAGGCAAGCCCGCCCAAGAGAAAAGUAAUCCGCGUCGCCCCCGUGGUGAAAAUGGAGUACAAAGCUCCGCGGCGUGCCCGGCAACCUCAAAGGCUGGGGCGCGGUUUAUAACGACGGACGUAAGCCCGAGGCGUUUGCGGCCAGUUGAUUCGGGUUGGGCUACUUAGGUGGACGAGCACGGUUUCCUACGCGGUAUUGUGAGAAGCAUCCAGUAUCGGUGGACAAUUUGCGAUGCUUCUCGGGGUAACUGUGCUGGGUAACUCUUCUCUUGUAUUUAGGGCUGAACUGCUGUCUUGGGCUGGUUCACGACCUGUUUUUUCCGUUGCCAAAACUUCGGUCAAGACGGAGGCGGAUUUAGGAGCCAGAAGCGUAGCGGAGCAGCCGGUUUCUGGUCCCGUGGGCGUCCGUGGCUUUGCCUCGGCUCUUGCGUGCUCUGGGGGGGGGGGAUGGCAGGGAGCCAAGGCGGUCUGCUUCUUUUGGAUAGGUUGCUGUGUCACCUUAAAAGCUCAGAAGGAGGUUUGGCUGUGAGAUCAGUUGGCCUUUUAGGUAAGACGGGCCGAGGUUCUGGGCAGUGUAAAGCUCCAUUUUCUGCCCAACUAUUUUCUCAGCACUUCCAUCUCUUUCUUACCUGAAAAAACUUUCAGAAAAGGGACUGGCUCUGCAUGAGGAAGUGUGGUGCAGCCCAGUUCUUUGAGGUCGUCUUUUACUCCGGGUAGAGCCUGUUUCCACUGCAUCCGCAAGAGGGCAUCCGAGAGCCAUUUGCAGGGAGCGUUUGCCUGCAGGGCACUGCCAGCAGUAAGUGGCGGAUGGGCACUGUUUUUCUUGUUCACCUGGCCAGGAGGCAAGAGCAGGACUCCGGGAGUUCUGGCUGCACAGAAUUGGUUAUGCCAAAGGAUCGUUAGCGCCUGCCACGCUGCCCACGCUCCGCACUGGUGCUCCUUCUCUAGUUGUGGGAAGCGUGUGACUGUCACCUCGCUGGUCAUCUCCGUCGCUGGCUCACAGUCCCUGGGGCCAGCAGUAGGCCAUUGCUGUACUCCUGGAGCUGCUGUGGGCAGAGGGGAAGAAGAACCAAAGUGCAAGGAGAGCGUUGAAAUGGUUGGGAACUUGGGAAAUGUUCCGAGUGGCAACCGUUUGGGCCCAGGGGAACGUUGUACUCGUAGUGGCUGCCUGAGCUCAGUGCGAAGGAGAUGCACUUCCAGGGGUCUCUGCCGCUGGGCCACACGGGAUGCUGUGCUGGGGGCCCCACUAGCCCUAAUGGCACAGCUAGCAGUGCCCCGUCGGAGCUGCCAUUCGGUAUUUGUUUAUCCCCUCCUCCCUACCCCAUUUUGGAGCACAGCUUGCCCAGGGAAGGGGCAUAGGGUUCCCCAAUCCCAGGCCAAGGAGCUAUGGGAAUCAGGGGCUUUGGGACUCACUGGGAGAGGAAGGGGCCCCUUCACUGCAGCCAGAUAUGCCAUCAGAAGCAUCCUGUGGCCUUGGGGAGCUGGCAAAUGGGUUGAAGUGAACUGGGGGCAGUUGCAUUCUGGCAGACACGUGGUUGGGUCUCGCUCUCUUCUGAAAGGAGAAGUCCCAAGUAAAGCUCUCCGGUUUCCUGGGCCAACCUGGGUUGAAGCAGGAGCGAGCCAGGAGGCCCGUGUGGGCUGCAUCACAAAGCUGCCUGCAGCAGGGGCCCCGCCCUCCUGGGCCGUGCAGCGGGGGGGCUCUUCUCACACAGAUGCAGCUGAACAGAAGCAGAUCGCUCUGGAGGAGAAGGAUGGCCCUUGUUUUCUGCGUGUAGCGUAUAAAAAGAGGCACUGCGGUCUCCUUAAGGAAGAAGAGCAUUGUUCAGCACCAAACGGCCCAAAAGGGAGCUUGCAGGAGGUGCUCAGAGGUCUGUCCACAUGCAGCUGCCCAGGGAAACAUCUUCUCAGAGCAGGAGACACCAAGUCCCCCUUCCCCCGACAGGAUCUUCUGCGGUUAAGAGCACAAGUCAUGAUCUGUGUCAUAAAACCAGUUUCACAAACCUGUUCCUGUGCCCAAGGGGCCAAAGGCUAACCUGGGCAGGACGUGGCCUGUACCAUCAGAACUCCACAUUCCACUCACGUCUUCCUUCCCGAUUCAUUCCUCUCCUCGCUGGCCAUGCAAUCUGCUGCUGUCCCAGCGUGUCUUGCAGAUGCUGCUUACUGACUUUGGGCCUCGCUCACGCUCAGCCUCUGGAUCCUCCGUGGGACGUGCGGCCCUUUUUUUACGCUAGAUUUAUCUGGCGAGGGGCUGGAUGGUCGGUGCGCUGUAGCCUUCAGUUUUCCUUGUCUCCUUACGUUGCCUAUUUUAGACUGAGACUUCUCCCCCUUCUUCCAGCAGCAGUCCCAGGCCAGGCACUGCAAAAUCUCAGAAAGAUCUCCCAGGACUUCUGACAGCCUCCCUAAGAAGACUGGAUCACAACUUCCAGCCUGAAUUGAUGGUUUCGUAUAGGUACUGAAAAGUAGUGGGGAGAGGACUGAACUCUGUGGGAUUCAACUGAGACAUACCCAGCAGGCUGACUACAACACCCACUAGCCCAGGAAGAGGCAGAACCAUUCCAGGAUGUGCCCCCAACUCAGCCUUCCUGGGUGGUCCACGUCAAUAGAACCUAAUCACAUAGGACCAAGAGAGCCCCGUUCCUUGCACCUGAGUCCUGGUGAAGAUCUUCCUUCGGAGCGACCAAGGCUGUCUCCAACCCUUGCCCAGGCCUACUGUGAUUAAAAGGGGUCCAGAGUCCAGUUUUAAUACAUCAAGAGAGGACUGGUUCAUAAGCAAAAAGUGGACCCCUGUCAUCUGUCCAAGAUUGUAACAGAGUGGCACUGUCUUUCCAGUGUAAAAGAACACUCUUUUUUUUGUCAUACCCAACUAUUCUUCAUAGAAUAAUACAUUCCAAAUGUUUGGUGCAGAAUUGAAAAUCACAUUCACAUCUUUAAACCAUAUUAAAAACUUCAAGAUAUUAAACUGAAGUGGGACAAUUAUGGGGCAAGCCCACAUCAGAGUUGUUUCAACAAAAUGGGUGGUGACAAAUUUGAUAAAUUUAAAAAAAGAUAUGUAAAUGUCCCUUCAUCAAUUUACACCUCCAGCAGAAUGAAGUUGAUAGUUAACCAAUUUAAUGUUUUAUUCUCUGAGGUGUCCAGUAUACACAUUGUGUUGUGGGUGAUUAUUUUGGGAUCAUUAGAAACACGCUUCAGUUUGUUCCAUCAGUCUCAGUCACUGGAUCCUCCUGAUAGCAGAGUCUGUUGGAACGCUCAUUGCAACUAAACUUGCAACAAGCAAGAUAAUCGGCUGUCUCUUAGCGUGGAGGCAGCUCUGCCUGCAGACACUUGGUGCCUCCUGUUCUGGGUAUUGCAGUCUCAACCUCUGGGGGACCCUGGGGCAGGUUUUGCGGUAGCUUUGGCUUUUGUAGAUGAAGCAGAAGUCAUUGUGGAAACUGCUGCAGCCUUUCUGGAGAGCUGGUUUCCCUCUAACUCUCUGGGAGAAGUCUAGAGAAACAACAUACAAUAUGUGCCAUCCUACUUGGGCAUCCGGAUAGGAUCCGUGUUUCUCCUGCAUGCUCCCACCACCACCUUUGUACCCAGUGGCUAUUCAAGGAAAGGAAGUGGGAGUUAAUUCCUUCAGUAUCUCUUGGGCAUUACAGAAACUCCCUCUUGGAGGAGGAGGAGGAAAUGCCAGGAAACAUUCAGAGAAGAGGAGGGCAAGUGGAAAAUUAUGGUAAAGCGAGCAGAGGCACUUUCAUGCCAUUUAGGAAAACGGAUAUCGUUUAAAAAAGAGAGGAAGUUGGUUUUUCACCUUUCCCCUUACAAGUACCAGAGGCUGAGUUUACGUUGUGGAGAUUAUUACCAGCAGCUUAACUUUGGUCAAAGUUAAUAUUUCCACUAAAAAUAUGUAGCUUCUGAGUAAUUUCUUAACUGGACAAUAAAUUGUUUAUGACAGGUUUAAUGGGACUGUAGAACUUGCGUGUUAAAAGGAACAAAGUAGAAAAGAUGCCAUUUGAUUUUAUGAUGCACACUGACAAGUUAAAUGUUGCCCUCCAGUUUGAGAACAACAUUCUAGAUGUUAUAAUCUGAAGGACUCAUUGCCACUGAUGCUGUUUCCCUCCCUUCUCCUGGACCUCAGGUGCCAUUCGCCAAAGGGGGUGAGGGGAUACAUCGGAUCAAAAGGUAAUGCAAAUGAAGAUAAUGUAUAUACGCUAGUGUAUAUGUUUAGGUGCAGGUGGUUGUUAUUAAAUAAAGUUCUGUCUAUCCCACCAGAUGGGGACAGCUAUGAGUAGAUAACUCCAGUGCCUCCUGCUGAGUGUGAUGCUCAGAGGCAGCUAAUUCUGGAAAGUCAACAACGGCAAAAC